GGGCGCUAGUGAUCCUUCUUGCGACUACCAGUACUGCAGGAGACAGGUACUGCAGAAGAAGACAACAAGCAGCAAGCAUGCAGCAAUUGUUUGCUUGCACUUUUAACAUGGAGGAUUACAUAUCUAAAAUAAAACCGUUUUCUAAACUGGACUUUCAAUCGAAGCAGGAGGUAAUAAUUAAAGGAAUAUCUCCAGAGACUUUUAAAAUUGAAGAAAGAUGAGAAAGACUGCCUUUGAUCAGAAGCAGCUGCACAUGGACCCAUCUACAAGUAAAGGAACUUGGGACUGACCAGCGUUUUACAUCCCACUUGGAGGAACAUCUGGUCAAACGCAACAAUUUGGGGGCUUCGUCCGAGAUGACACGCUGACAAUUGGACCUUCUCUUGCAAUCUUCUGGACAGACUCACAUGGCCAAAACAUAAUUCAAGGUCAGACCUUCCCAGGACCAGCAGCCCCCCAUGGAAGGAGGACUCAGCGUAAAAUCAAAAUGGUAUUUUACACAAAAAAAUGCAGAAUUUGUGUGCCAGUUCUUCUGUACAGAUACGAGGAUGACAGCCCGCCACUCCAGAUUCCCUUCCGCCCGCUGAGAGGGUCAAGAUCUAGGUCAUCAAACGCAAGUGGACGGAGCCCAGGUGGACUGGUCCCUUCAAGGUCGUGGAACGGACGUCUCACGCCCUUCGACUAGCUGGUAAAGGGGACACCUGGUACCACCUCUCCCUCUACACUCCUGCUGAAGAACCUGACAGAUUACCAGCGGAUGUCAUUGCUGACAUCGCCACUACAUCUGCCCCACUCGACCCCCUAGCAGCGCCUUUUGAGCCUGAGGCAUCUGAAGAAGAACGGGAGCAGAAAACGACUCAUUUUUAGUGUGUGUUACCGAGGUAACACACAUAAGGGGUGAUAGUGCUAGUAACCUCUCCCCCUCUAGGUCAUAGAAGAGCGAGGCUUUAAUUACACACACAUAAUCCUACAGCCCAGAAGACGACGCUGAGAGAGAUUUUCUACCUAUAUUACUCUUUUCAACUUCUAUAUUGUAUAUCCUUAUUUGAGACCAGCCUUUAUACUCGAAGUUAUCCAAUUUCUUUUGCUUGUUUGCAGCAUAACUAUCUGUGUCGUUACAUUAAGUGAAAAGUUUGAUGUUUAUCCCCGUUUCGUUACCUGAAUUACUCUGAUUUUGAUAGACAAAAGGCAGGAUGUUACACCCGACUAGUAUUCCCUGACAGACUGCUGCUUGGGCUUGUUCUACUGUCUUUGUGUCUCAGUUCUUCCUUCCCGACGACAGUGACUGACAAGUGUCUUAGAACAUAUGGCGGACUUUAAAUAGACUGGGUCAAAGGGGACAGCAAGACUUCUUUUUGACCUAUGCAGUGUGUUUAAUUGCGGGGGACAUAAUAGCUAUUACCGUGGUAGUAACGACUCAACCCUGAACCAUUGGUGUCGGAUGCAGACAACAUACUCUGGUAAGUGGUGCCCAUCGUCCCUUUUAUGUUGUUUUGGGGGUUGACCUGACUGAUACAGACUCUAAAGGAAUUAUUAAAAUUAAUGUCCUUGAGAGGGUGAUAACUACCUCUACACCCUCUGUAGCACCCAAAGUACCACCCCACCUCGGUGGUGUUUCAAAGGCUCUCACAUCUGUGCGUGCUAAUGACAUCACCACUGAAGGCCUGGUAGCUUUGACCUUAGGAGCAGGUGCAGGCAACCUAUGGCUCAGGUGGAUGACUAGCAUGGCUAAGAGCCAAAACCUGGGUGACUGUGUUGCUUGUUCCGCUGGACAUCCUUUCCCCACACUUAUCCCGCCCCCUUUAAGUUGACUGACAUAAAUGGCUUGGUUCAGAAGGCCUUAGAAGGCCUCCAAGCCCUGUCUAAGGAACUUACUGAAGUUUUCGGUGUCUCUGACCCCUUUAAAGAUUGGCUCUAGACCACCUUUGGCAGGUGGACUGACAUAAUUAAGUCUGCCCUAGUCUCCUUUAAAGUUUUCUUGGCCAUUAUAGCCUCAUGCGGUUGCUUUAUCGCCCAUGCACCCGCAUCUUUGUUAGAGCUGUCAAAGGUCAACCCCACCCUGUCUCUAGGUUUGCUAUGUCUCUGAAGGGGGUCUAGCAAAGUGGUGACUUUAAGACUUUCGAGAUUUGCUAGUUUCCUUCCCUGACAAUGACGACAUUGACAUAAACUCCCUCCAUUUAUCUCCCAUGUAGCUAUGCUUUUAUUUUAUUGUUAGCUUGCUCGAAAAAAAACAAAAAACCAGUACCUACUUUAAUGUGGGGCGUGCUUUAGAAGUGUUGUACUAGAGGUAAAGAUCUUUUUAGAAGAUCUUGAAGGGGGAAUUGACGGAUGCAUAUAUCCACAUUUAUCCAUAAUUAAGAGUUACUUCUUUCUAUAUUUCUAUAGUCAUAUUUUAAAUAGCUAAUGUUCCAUCUUGUACUCUCUUUUCAUUGUUUUGAUCGUCUCAUGACAAAGUGCUUGCACUGUGGACGGCCUUGAAGUAGGAGGCAGAGAAGAGGAGUCCUCCCUGCUUCCCUUCUCGGGCCGACUUGAGAUAACGGACACAAUGGGCAUCUGU